UGUAGCCUGCAACCCGGCCUACAUGAAGCUGGAAUCGCUAGUAAUCGCAGAUCAGAAUGCUGCGGUGAAUACGUUCCCGGGUCUUGUACACACCGCCCGUCACACCAUGGGAGCCGGGAAUGCCCGAAGCCGGUGACCCAACCGUAAGGAGGGAGCCGCCGAAGGCAGGCCUGGUAACUGGGGUGAAGUCGUAACAAGGUAUC
rnacentral:rRNA from 1 species